rnacentral:other from 1 species
GGUGUACUGCGCUUCUCGACAGGAAAUAACGUAUUCCUGAGACCUUAUUGAUUUCAAAGGGAGCUGUCCCUGAAAAAGCUCGUGGGCUUUUUCAUAUGGCGCCCACCUACAGAGUAGGUUCUCGGAAUCAAUCUUUCCAUCGGUUGUUGUGGUUCACCA